GUCCUUUUUCUGCUUGAGGACAUUUCAUGGACACACAGACAUCUGGAGAAUGGACAAACAGUAUUUACUCAGGUUUCCUCCCAGAAGAAAAGAUUAGAACCUGAUGACCUGAUGAACCUGUCCCUCCUCACCCAAGUCACUCUAUGAUUCUAUGGAUGAUCAUCAUGCAAACUGGUGGAGGGGUGAGGCUCCGUGACCCACCGUUGCCACAUCCAACACACUGCUCCUACUGGAGGAAGCUGCAACACAGAAAGAUGUUUCUAAAGCAGAACGUGGGCAUGGAGAGACCCUGUACUCAGUUAAAACAGACUGAAUUCACAAAGAACAAGAUAAGUCCCACCUAUGAUCUAGAACCUGGAGACAGGUAGAAGAUGGGAGAGAAAGGAGACGCCCCCUGGUACUUCAUAUUUUAUGAAGG
ensembl:lncRNA